rnacentral:rRNA from 1 species
GAAAGGCGCUUUCGGGUGUCGCUGAUGGAUGGACCCGCGGUGCAUUAGCUAGUUGGUGAGGUAACGGCCCACCAAGGCGACGAUGCAUAGCCGACCUGAGAGGGUGAUCGGCCACAUUGGGACUGAGACACGGCCCAAACUCCUACGGGAGGCAGCAGUAGGGAAUCUUCGGCAAUGGACGAAAGUCUGACCGAGCAACGCCGCGUGAGUGAAGAAGGUUUUCGGAUCGUAAAACUCUGUUGUUAGAGAAGAACAAGGAUGAGAGUAACUGUUCAUCCCUUGACGGUAUCUAACCAGAAAGCCACGGCUAACUACGUGCCAGCAGCCGCGGUAAUACGUAGGCGGCAAGCGUUGUCCGGAUUUAUUGGGCGUAAAGCGAGCGCAGGCGGUUUCUUAAGUCUGAUGUGAAAGCCCCCGGCUCAACCGGGGAGGGUCAUUGGAAACUGGGAGACUUGAGUGCAGAAGAGGAGAGUGGAAUUCCAUGUGUAGCGGUGAAAUGCGUAGAUAUAUGGAGGAACACCAGUGGCGAAGGCGGCUCUCUGGUCUGUAACUGACGCUGAGGCUCGAAAGCGUGGGGAGCAAACAGGAUUAGAUACCCUGGUAGUCCACGCCGU